CACCGGUGCCGCGCCCGGCGCGCAGAAACCCCGCUCCUAGGGACAGGUCGCCCUCCCUGCCGCCCCCCCACCCUCUCCUCUCCCCCACAGCAGCGGCCCCAGCUCACCUCAGGGAAAGGGGUCUCAGAUCCCCGGUGCUUCGGUACCUGCCUGGGUAAGGCUGACUAAAAAGAACGUACAAUUCCUGUAUCUCCUGUCCUCCAUCAUCCUGAAAAAGACCUACCAGCAGCCUUCCAAGCGAUCACCUGGCAAAGUUUAAAUACUAAUGUGCAUAGCACGACCACCAUUUGACUAAUGUAAAUUACAUCCUGAUGCAUCUGAUAUCAUGAUGAAAGGAAACAGGAUGAAAAUCUACAGACUGAAACAGGGAAGAUGAAAGCACUGUAAGCGAAAUGCGUUAUACCUAGAACAUUGCUGAAGCAAGAAC